rnacentral:rRNA from 1 species
AGUGAACGCUGGCGGUAGGCCUAACACAUGCAAGUCGAACGGCAGCACAGUAAGAGCUUGCUCUUACGGGUGGCGAGUGGCGGACGGGUGAGGAAUACAUCGGAAUCUACUUUUUCGUGGGGGAUAACGUAGGGAAACUUACGCUAAUACCGCAUACGACCUACGGGUGAAAGCAGGGGAUCUUCGGACCUUGCGCGAUUGAAUGAGCCGAUGUCGGAUUAGCUAGUUGGCGGGGUAAAGGCCCACCAAGGCGACGAUCCGUAGCUGGACUGAGAGGAUGGUCACCCACACUGGAACUGAGACACGGUCCAGACUCCUACGGGAGGCGGCGGUGGGGAAUAUUGGACAAAGGGCGCAAGCCUGAUCCAGCCAUACCGCGUGGGUGAAGAAGGCCUUCGGGUUGUAAAGCCCUUUUGUUGGGAAAAAAAAGCAGCAGGUUAAUACCCCGCUGUUCUGACGGUACCCAAAGAAUAAGCACCGGCUAACUUCGUG